rnacentral:rRNA from 1 species
CCUACGGGAGGCAGCAGUGGGGAAUAUUGCACAAUGGGGGAAACCCUGAUGCAGCGACGCCGCGUGAGCGAAGAAGUAUUUCGGUAUGUAAAGCUCUAUCAGCAGGGAAGAAAUUGACGGUACCUGAGUAAGAAGCUCCGGCUAAAUACGUGCCAGCAGCCGCGGUAAU